UUUCCGUAGGUGAACCUGCGGAAGGAUCAUUAAAGAAUGUCCCGUUUUUCGUACUGGUUUCUAUUCCAAAACCGCGUCUACAUACCUUUGUUGCUUUGGCGGGCCGCCUUCCGUCGUUGGCCUCGGCUCAUAUUGCCCGCAAGAGGACCCUAACUUGUUUUGUUUAGUGAUGACUUAGUACUAUAAAAUAGUUAAAACUUUCAACAACGGAUCUCUUGGUUCUG
rnacentral:misc_RNA from 1 species